AACGAACGCUGGCGGCAGGCCUAACACAUGCAAGUCGAACGCCCGUAGCAAUACGGGAGUGGCAGACGGGUGAGUAACGCGUGGGAACGUGCCCUUCGGUUCGGAAUAACUCAGGGAAACUUGAGCUAAUACCGGAUACGUCCGUAAGGAGAAAGAUUUAUCGCCGAAGGAUCGGCCCGCGUCGGAUUAGCUAGUUGGUGAGGUAACGGCCCACCAAGGCGACGAUCCGUAGCUGGUCUGAGAGGANGAUCAGCCACACUGGGACUGAGACACGGCCCAGACUCCUACGGGAGGCAGCAGUGGGGAAUACUGGACAAUGGGCGAAGCCUGAUCCAGCCAUGCCGCGUGAGUGAAGAAGGCCUUAGGGUUGUAAAGCUCUUUCAGCGGGAAGAUAAUGACGGUACCCGCAGAAGAAGCCCCGGCUAACUUCGUGCCAG
rnacentral:rRNA from 1 species